UACGUAGGGAGCAAGCGUUGUCCGGAAUCAUUGGGCGUAAAGCGCGCGUAGGCGGCCCUGUAAGUCCGUUGUGAAAGUCAAAGGCUCAACCUUUGAAAGCCGAUGGAUACUGCAGGGCUAGAGUCCGGAAGAGGCGAGUGGAAUUCCUGGUGUAGCGGUGGAAUGCGCAGAUAUCAGGAGGAACACCGGUGGCGAAGGCGGGUCUCUGGGCCGAUAUUGACGCUGAGGAGCGAAAGCGUGGGGAGCGAACAGG
rnacentral:rRNA from 1 species